UACGUAGGGUGCGAGCGUUAAUCGGAAUUACUGGGCGUAAAGUGUGCGCAGGCGGCGCCGCAAGUCGAGUGUGAAAGCCCCGGGCUUAACUUGGGAAUUGCGCUCGAAACUAUGGUGCUGGAGUGUGGCAGAGGAAGGUGGAAUUCCACGUGUAGCGGUGAAAUGCGUAGAGAUGUGGAGGAACACCGAUGGCGAAGGCAGCCUUCUGGGCCAACACUGACGCUGAGGAGCGAAAGCGUGGGGAGCGAACAGG
rnacentral:rRNA from 1 species